rnacentral:rRNA from 1 species
AUUGAACGCUGGCGGCAGGACUAACACAUGCAAGUCGAGCGGAGCGGCGGACGGGUGAGUAAUGCCUAGGCAUCUGCCUGGUAGUGGGGGAUAACGUCCGGAAACGGGCGCUAAUACCGCAUACUAUCAGAUGAGCCUAGGUCGGAUUAGCUAGAUGGUGGGGUCAAGGCCUACCAAGGCGACGAUCCGUAACUGGUCUGAGAGGAGGAUCAGUCCCAGUGGAAAGGAGACACGGUCCAGAGGCCUUCGGAAGGCAGCAGUGGGGAAUAUGGGAAAGUGGGCGAAAGCCUGAGCCAGCCAUGCGGGGUGUGUGCAGAAUGGAUACGGAUUUUAAAGUACUUUAAGUUGGGAGGCGUUACCAGCAGAAUAAGCACAGGCUAACUUCGUGACAGCAGCCGCGUUAAUC